rnacentral:rRNA from 1 species
AUUGAACGCUGGCGGCAGGCUUAACACAUGCAAGUCGAACGGUAACAGGGAGAAACUUGUUUCUUUGCUGACGAGUGGCGGACGGGUGAGUAAUGCUUGGGAAUCUGUUUUAUGGAGGGGGAUAACUACGGGAAACUGUAGCUAAUACCGCGUAAUAUCGAGAGAUUAAAGUGUGGGACCGUAAGGCCACAUGCCAUAGAGUGAGCCCAAGUGGGAUUAGGUAGUUGGUGGGGUAAAGGCCUACCAAGCCGUCGAUCUCUAGCUGGUCUGAGAGGAUGACCAGCCACACUGGGACUGAGACACGGCCCAGACUCCUACGGGAGGCAGCAGUGGGGAAUAUUGCACAAUGGGCGCAAGCCUGAUGCAGCCAUGCCGCGUGAAUGAAGAAGGCCUUCGGGUUGUAAAGUUCUUUCGGUGGUGAGGAAGGUUGUAAUGUUAAUAGCAUUAUAAUUUGACGUUAGCCACAGAAGAAGCACCGGCUAACUCCGUGCCAGCAGCCGCGGUAAUACGGAGGGUGCGAGCGUUAAUCGGAAUAACUGGGCGUAAAGGGCACGCAGGCGGAUACUUAAGUGAGGUGUGAAAGCCCUGGGCUUAACCUAGGAAUUGCAUUUCAUACUGGGUAUCUAGAGUAUUUUAGGGAGGGGUAGAAUUCCACGUGUAGCGGUGAAAUGCGUAGAGAUGUGGAGGAAUACCGAAGGCGAAGGCAGCCCCUUGGGGGAAUACUGACGCUCAUGUGCGAAAGCGUGGGGAGCAAACAGG